UACGAAGGGGGCAAGCGUUGUUCGGAAUGACUGGGCGUAAAGGGCGCGUAGGCGGCUUGAUAAGUCAGGCGUGAAAUUCCUGGGCUUAACCUGGGGGCUGCGUCUGAGACUGUUGAGCUAGAGGCCGAGAGAGGGUGGUGGAAUUCCCAGUGUAGAGGUGAAAUUCGUAGAUAUUGGGAAGAACACCGGUGGCGAAGGCGGCCACCUGGCUCGGAACUGACGCUGAGGCGCGACAGCGUGGGGAGCAAACAGG
rnacentral:rRNA from 1 species